UAGAAGGGGGGGAUCGCAAGACCUCUCGCUAUCGGAGCGGCCGAUGUCAGAUUAGGUAGUUGGUGGGGUAAAAAGCCUACCAAGCCAACGAUCUGUAGCUGGUCUGAGGGGACGACCAGCCACACUGGGACUGAGAGACGGCCCAGACUCCUACGGGAGGCAGCAGUGGGGAAUUUUGGACAAUGGGCGCAAGCCUGAUCCAGCCAUGCCGCGUGCGGGAAGAAGGCCUUCGGGUUGUAAACCGCUUUUGUCAGGGAAGAAAAGCUUCAAGCUAAUAUCUUGAGGUGAUGACGGUACCUGAAGAAUAAGCACCGGCUAACUCCGUG
rnacentral:rRNA from 1 species